rnacentral:rRNA from 1 species
UACGGAGGGUGCGAGCGUUGUUCGGAAUCACUGGGCGUAAAGGGCGUGUAGGCGGUCCGCUAAGUCUGAUGUGAAAGCCCGGGGCUCACCCCCGGAAGGGCAUUGGAAACUGACGGACUCGAGUCCCGAAGAGGAGGGUGGAAUUCCUGGUGUAGCGGUGAAAUGCGCAGAUAUCAGGAGGAACACCGAUUGCGAAGGCAGCUCGCUGGGACGUAACUGACGCUGAGACGCGAAAGCGUGGGGAGCAAACAGG